UUUAAUUUAUUAUUAAUGUAUUUAAUCAACUGCUUAUUCACUCUUAAAUUUGACAUCUAAAUUUGUAAAUUGUUCAAGAAAAAAUUGUGAAAUUGCUGUUUAUUUAAUUUAUUAUUAAUCAUAUGCAUAUGUUAAAUUUCACAUCUAAAUGUGUUAAAUUUGUUCAUUUAAUUUUCCAAAACAUUUUUUUCCAGCUAAAAUAUGCAAACGUCCUUAAAACAAGACAAAAACCUUGCUGGGUUGCGCUCCCGUCAGGACUGCUGAGCCAGCUCCCCGCGGAGGCGUUUCUGAGCCCUCGCUCGGGUCUGAGAGGAGAAACCGUAGCUAAAGCAAACACAGUCACCACCCAGAGCCCCCCCAACACCGCCCGUGACUCACUGCACUGACACCACAUCACUGCAGACCACAAGAAUGGGUGGAGAUUAAGAAUCUGAAAUCUGUACAUAUGCUGAAGAAAACGUGUGGCGUUUGCUUGAACAAAACUCUCCGCCAUUAUGCCAGCGUUGCUAUUAUAAUUCAUGUCUGAAGCACAUACUCAGUAGUGAUCGUGUUGAAGUAAACCCAACUAGUAAGACGCCACUAAAAAACCUUGUCGUAAGCGUUACAACAUUUCCAUUCUCUCACACUUCAGAAGCAUCACUUUAACAGUGGAAAUGGUUUUAGGGUUUCAGACUCGUGAUGGAGAGGCUUUAUGUGCGUAGCCUCUCUGUUACCUCCCACAUCAAAUCUGGUCCUGAUUUCGACCCAGUUGCCCAACGUUUACGUGGGGGGGAGAAACGAGGGCGGUGCGGGUGGUGCUGGGGGGGUCGUCCAGCAUAAAGGCCUCUUUAUUCACGCCGGACAGGGAAAGGAAAUCGGCUUCAGAAGAAAAAACACGCCAGCACGCCACAGGCCCGCACAUCUGGAGUUAUUACAAGCCCACCGUCUUGCCAAGAAACUCCGACAUUCCUGCAGCGCUACAAAGCCGUGCAACUCACUCGCUCCCACACACACAAAAAAAGUGCAGAGAGCGAUCCACCCCAACCCCCUCCCCAAAAUGACACAACACAUGCGGCAAAUUAAUGCGCUUCACUUCCUGUUGACCUUUGACCAUCAACUUCCUGCUGCCACCCCAAAAAGCAGGAAAAAAAUAACAGAAAGCCAGACGGAGGCGGGAAGGGGAAGAAAGUCCCGCCUCUUUCUCCUCUCUCUUGCUCCUUCACUCUCUCUCACUAGUAAAGUUAGUUAACAGUCCUCUGCCACGUCAAGCCUGCGAGUCACUGCAUCGCCGUCCGGGACGCUCACGGAAAACGCCGGAUGGAUGUUAGUGGAUGCAGAUUUAUGAUUUGUUCGGGAACUCAGGAACCAAAAAUGAUGAAGAAGCUGUCCUGUCGAAGAUCUAUUCGAAGUCUCACUGAGGUCCUGUAGAUGCAAACUGGGAAAAUCAAUUGGGAAAACUGACACUCGACAAAGAGGAGGACAAACACCUUUGCACAGGAUGAAGAGGAGGAUGAGCAGAGUUUUAGGGAAUUUCUGAGUGAAACAUGAAACCGCAGGGAACGCAUCAUCAUCUCUCCACGGGAAACGGGAAGCUUCCAAUCAGAACGCAGCAUCAUCAUCAUCAUCAUCAUCUGUGUGUCUCACCUCCAUAUUUUGCCUGUUUCAGACUCCAUCAUAGACUGAUCUACGGACGUCACUAGACGUUUUGCGUGCUCGUGCUCGGGCGCGUUAGUUUUUAGACGCCCGUCCCGCCUGCCCAGUGUUCAGACUACCUGUUCAGGAAGUAGCGUUUGUACAGUAGUCUGCACAUUGGUUAGGCUGGACGGGGAUGCUCAAGAGUGACCGUGACGACUGGAGAACUCAUCGCCGUGACAACAGCGGAACACGCUGCUGAACUUCAUCUGUUCAGCAUGCUUUGAUGUCAAUGAUGUAAUCAAUGAAUAAAGUAUGAAAUGAUACAAA